rnacentral:piRNA from 1 species
UUUUACUACUACACUCAAAAU